rnacentral:rRNA from 1 species
AUUGAACGCUGGCGGCAUGCUUUACACAUGCAAGUCGAACGGCAGCACGGGGGCGAACCCUGGUGGCGAGUGGCGAACGGGUGAGUAACACAUCGGAACGUGCCCAGUUGUGGGGGAGUAACCUAUCGAAAGGUAGGCUAAUACCGCAUGAGCUCGGCAAGAGGAAAGCGGGGGACGUCAGCGAUGGGCCUCGCGCGACUGGAGCGGCCGAUGUCCGAUUAGCUAGUUGGUGGGGUAAAGGCUUACCAAGGCGACGAUCGGUAGCUGGUCUGAGAGGAUGAUCAGCCACACUGGGACUGAGACACGGCCCA